CUGUGGCGCUCCCAUAACCAUUCCUUGGCCCAUCUCCAAGAAAAGGCAGGCUGGCCUCUGUUUAGGUGUUGUCUGUGCUUGCAUUCCCAACAUUCACAUGAGGAAUUAUCAAUGGGUUCCCGACAUAAUCAGCCACACAGCAGAGUGAAUUUCAGGAGUGUAAUUAACAAGAGCUGCCUAUAAAUCUACCUCAGAAGACAAAGGGAAAAGCAAAACUCUGCCCAGGAAAACCUUACUUUACAAACCAGGUGACCAAAUUUCUAAAACAUCAUUCCCGUAAUCCCUGAUCAACAGAAAGGAAGCUCUGGAAGCAUGAAUGCUCAACCAUAUUUACCAGCCUUCCUGUGGUCAUUUGUCUGAGCUCCAGCUAGUGAAGUGUGAGUAGAACAGACAUGCACCACUUCCAGACCUGGCACCGGCAAACCCCCCAUGGCAACCCUCCAACCCUUUCCUCAACAACUGGACCAUGCUGGAAAGGACUGAGGAUCUAGAGGAGGACAGGGCUGUAAUAUGGAAGGAGUUUGGUUUCUGAAGGACCAUGUAGCAGGCCACCUGCAGGGUGGGAACAUCUUUAAUAGGUUUGGAAUAGCAAGAAAUAAACUGGUCUUGUAUUAAACAACUAA
rnacentral:lncRNA from 1 species